UCCCUGCAUAGUUCAAGAUAGGCUCGUGGCGGGCUUUGGCAAAGAUGGCGUUGUGAAAAUAUGAGUCAAUGUGGAGAUUUGUUAAAUAUGACUCCUAUUUUCAGUCAAAUUUGAGAAAUAAUCUUUUAGUUAAACUCUGUUUACUUGUUUCAAUCAAACACUGAUUAGUUUAGAUUAUUUUAUUAUUAUUUGGCCUAUGAAUUUAGCCUAUAAAUAGGCUCUUUUACAACCUUAGAA
rnacentral:lncRNA from 1 species